rnacentral:rRNA from 1 species
AGUGAACGCUGGCGGUAGGCCUAACACAUGCAAGUCGAACGGAAGCACAGUAAGAGCUUGCUCUUACGGGUGGCGAGUGGCGGACGGGUGAGGAAUACAUCGGAAUCUACUUUUUCGUGGGGGAUAACGUAGGGAAACUUACGCUAAUACAGCAUACGACCUACGGGUGAAAGCAGGGGAUCUUCGGACCUUGCGCGAUUGAAUGAGCCGAUGUCGGAUUAGCUAGUUGGCGGGGUAAAGGCCCACCAAGGCGACGAUCCGUAGCUGGUCUGAGAGGACGAUCGGCCACACUGGAGCUGAGACACGGUCCAGGCUCCUACGGGAGGCAGCAGUGGGGAAUAUUGGACAAUGGUCGCAAGCCUGAUCCAGCCAGACCGCGUGUGUGAAGAAGGCCUUCGGUUUGUAAAGCCCUUUUGUUGGGAAAGAAAAGCAGCAGGUUAAUACCCCGCUGUUCUGACGGUACCCAAAGAAUAAGCACCGGCUAACUUCGUG